rnacentral:rRNA from 1 species
GAUGAACGCUGGCGGCGUGCCUAAUACAUGCAAGUCGAGCGAACAGACGAGGAGCUUGCUCCUCUGACGUUAGCGGCGGACGGGUGAGUAACACGUGGAUAACCUACCUAUAAGACUGGGAUAACUUCGGGAAACCGGCGCUAAUACCGGAUAAUAUAUUGAACCGCAUGGUUCAAUAGUGAAAGACGGUGUUGCUGUCACUUAUAGAUGGAUCCGCGCCGCAUUAGCUAGUUGGGAAGGUAACGGCUUACCAAGGCGACGAUGCGUAGCCGAACUGAGAGGGUGAUCGGCCACACUGGAGCUGAGACACGGUCCAGACUCCUACGGGAGGCAGCAGUAGGGAAUCGGCCGCAAUGGGCGAAAGCCUGACGGAGCAACGCCGAGUGAGUGAUGAAGGUCUUCGGAUCGUAAAACUCGGUUAUUAGGGAAGAACAAAUGUGUAAGUAACUAUGCACGUCUUGACGGUACCUAAUCAGAAAGCCACGGCUAACUACGUG